GAGAUGGGAUCUCACUAUGUUGUCCAGGCUGGUCUGGAACUCCUGGCCUUAUGCAAUCCUCCUGCAUCAACCUCCCAAAGUGUUGGGAUUACAGGCAUGAGCCACUGCACCUGUCCCUAAACUUAGACUUUUAAGAGAUUAUUAUUACAGUGACCCUGAGGAUACCAAAAUGGCCUCAUCUGCCAAAAUGAGGGUGAUGAGAGUACCCUUCUGCAAGGGUUACUGUGAGGAUUAAAUGGUAAAGCAUGCCAAGGACUUGGCACAGGUUUUAUACUUAAACUUACUUCGACUGGGUUUGGGGACCUCUGCUGGGUAGGUCUCUCUAGGGGUGUGUGUUAAUGGCCCCUGGACCCUAGGGAGCUGCCCAUGGGCAUCCUCUGUCCUAUCUCCAGAUACAGCAUCAUGCAGGCCUGCUGGGCCUUGGAGCCCACCCACAGACCCACCUUCCAGCAGAUCUGCUCCUUCCUUCAGGAGCAGGCCCAAGAGGACAGGAGACAGCAGGACUAUACCAAUCUGCCGAGCAGCAGCAGAAGCGGUGGCAGCGGCAGCGGCAGCGGCAGCGGCAGCAGCAGUGAACUGGAGGAGGAGAGCGCUAGUGAGCACCUGACCUGCUGCGAGCAAGGGGAUAUCGCCCAGCCCUUGCUGCAGCCCAACAACUAUCAGUUCUGCUGAGGAGUUAACGACAGGGAGUACCACUCUCCCCUCCUCCAAACUUCAACUCCUCCAUGGAUGGGGCGACAUGGGGAGACCAUACAAACUCUGCCUUCGGUCAUUUCACUCAACAGCUCGGCCCAGCUCUGAAACUUGGGAAGGUGAGGGAUUCAGGGGAGGUCAGAGGAUCCCACUUCCUGAGUGUGGGCUAUCACUGCCAGUCAGGGGCUGGGGGCUGAGCCCUCACCCCC
rnacentral:sRNA from 1 species